rnacentral:rRNA from 1 species
ACAGGUUUACCUGUGUGACUGCGUACCUUUUGUAUAAUGGGUCAGCGACUUAUAUUCUGUAGCAAGGUUAACCGUAUAGGGGAGCCGUAGGGAAACCGAGUCUUAACCGGGCGUUAAGUUGCAGGGUAUAGACCCGAAACCCGGUGAUCUAGCCAUGGGCAGGUUGAAGGUUGGGUAACACUAACUGGAGGACCGAACCGACUAAUGUUGAAAAAUUAGCGGAUGACCUGUGG